ensembl:lncRNA
GGCGGGGAGGUCCCCACAUCGGUGCCCCCCCCUGCCCCACACAACGCAGCCCAGGUUGGGGGGCGAGGGGGGGAAGGGAAGCACAGCGCCCCCUGGUGGAGGGGAGGGUGGGGGCGGGAAGCACGGCGCCCCCUGGUGGUGGGGAGGUCCCCGCGUCGGUGCUCCCCACCCCCGCCCCACAAACAACACGGCCUGGGUUAAGGAGGGGUGUGGGGGUGGGAAGCACAGCGCCCCCUGGUGGUGGGGAGGUCCAUGCAUUGGUGCUCCCCCCCCACCCCACACACAAUGCUGCCUGGGUUAAGGGGGGGUUGGGAAGUACAGCGCCCCCUGGUGGAGGGGAGGGUGGGGGCGGGAAGCACAGCGCCCCCUGGUGGCAGGGAGGUCCCCGCGUCGGUGCCCACCCCACACACAACGCGGCCUGGGUUAAGGGGGUGGAUGGGGGCGGGAAGCACAGCGCCCCCUGGCGGCGGGGAGGUCCCCGCGCGGGGUCUGACCUUGAGGAUCUCGUAGACGUAGAAGCGGAUGUCGAAGUCGGACAGGGUCUGGUAGAGCUGCUGCGGAGCAAGGGGGGGGGGUGAGAUUAAUGACUCGGUGCUAAUUAGGGGCUAAUGAGGGCCGUGGUGGGGGUGGGUUGGGGUUGGGGGUCCCGAGGUCUCUGCGGACCUUAAUGAGGCUGUGGGUCUAAUGAGGGUCAUGGAGGGGUGGGUGGGGUUGAGGUUGGGGAUCUUGGAGGUCUCUUCCGACCUUAAUGAGUCUAUGGGUCUAAUGAGGGUCGCGGUGGGGUUGGGUGGGUUGGGGUGGGGCAUCUUGGAGGUCUCUUCCAACCUUAAUGAGCCUGCGGGUCUAAUUAGGGUUGCACUGGGGAUGGGUUGGGGUUGGGGUGGGGAGUCCUGACUUUAAUGACUUUAGUUUUAAUUAGGGUCAUGGUGGGGUGGGUUGGGGUUGGGUUGGGAGAUCUUGGAGGCCUCUUCCAAUCUUAACGAGUCUAUGGGUCUAAUUAGGGCCACAGUGGGGUGGGUUGGGGUUGGACUCAACGACCUUGGAGCUUUCUUCCAACCUUAAUGAGUCUGUGGGUCUAAUUAGGGUCAUGGUGGGGAUGGGUUGGGGUUGGCGUGGGGGGUUCUGAGCUCUCCUUUGGUCUUAAUGAGUCUGUGGUUUUAAUUAGGGUCACAGUGGGGAGGGUUGGGGUUGGGUUGGGUUGGGGGAUCUUGGAGGUCUCUCCCAGUCUUAAUGAGUCUACGGGUCUAAUUAGGGUCAUGGUGGGGUGGGGGAUCUUGGAGAUCUCUUCCAUCCUUAAUGAGUCUAUGUUUUUAAUUAGGGUCAUGGUGGAGUGGAUUGGGUUGGGUUUGGGGGUCUUGGAGGUCUCUCCCAAUCUUAAUGAGUCUAUGGGUCUAAUUACAGUCAUGGAGGGGUGGGUUGGGGCUGGGGUGGAGGAUCUUGGAGGUAUCUUCCAUCCUUAAUGAGUUUGUGGUUUUAAUUAGGGUCAUGGUGGGUUGGGUUGGGGUGGGUUGGGAGAUCUUGGAGGUCUCGCCCUACCUUAAUGACUCUAUGUGACUAAUUAGGGUCGUGGAGGGGAUG